AAUCUUGCGCAAUGGACGAAAGUCUGACGGAGCGUUCCCGCGGGUGUGAUUAAGGCUUNUGGUCCNUNAAACUUUGUUGUUAGGGNAAAACAAGUAUCGGAGCGAUACGCCGGUAUCUUGACGUUACCUAACCAUAAAGCCCCGGCCAACUACGUGCCAGCAGCCGCGGUAAUACGUAGGGGGCGAGCGUCGUCCGGAAUUCUGCGGCUUAAACGGUACGUAGACGGCUAUAUACAUGAGGUAGGAAAGACCAAUGCUUAACACUGGAAUUGCAUUUGAAAACGAGUAGGCUGAGUGCGAGAAAGGAAAGUGGAAUUCGUAGUGUAGCGGUAAAGUGCGUAGAGAUUAGGAGGAACACCAAUGGCCAAGGCGACUUUCGGGACUGUAACUGUCGCUGAGGUACGAAAGCGUGGGUAGCGAACA
rnacentral:rRNA from 1 species